rnacentral:ncRNA from 1 species
CUUCGGGUCUGUGGUUGCAAGCCGAUGCCAGUCGCAGGCAAAGCGGUCCACGUAACCCGGCCAAAGCGCCGGUGAGCAUGGUGCGGUUUAGAAGUAAGUCCAUCCGGGGCGGUUUCCGACCCCGAGAGGAGUGCGUGAGGGCGCGAUGGCGCAGAGCAACCUCCCAGAUGGCGAGUGUGGGGGCAAAGACCAGGUCAGCCGGAG